CUGGCAUAGCAAACGAUCGCUUUGGCGCUGGAGCCACAGAGGAAAGUCCGAGCUGCUCUAAGACAUGGUUCCAUCUAACAGAUGGCUAGGGAAACCUAAGGGAUAGUGCAACAGAAAGUAAACUGCCGCGAAAUCGGCGAUGGUGAAACGGUGGGGUAAGAGCCCACCAGCGUUUGUGGCAACACAGAUGGCUUUGUAAACCCAACCUGCAGCAAGAAGGGACGGUUUUGUCUUAGUAAUACAACCCUUCGCUUGAGCUAAGUUGCAAAAUUUAGCCUAGAUAAAUGAUCGUUUUUAACAGAACUCGGCUUAUCGCUAUGCCUUUUAU
rnacentral:RNase_P_RNA from 2 species